GAAAAGGAACCGAACUGGCAUAAAGUCACCAGAAUAAGACGGGAGGUAUGCAAAGUAUCACAGCACUAGGAUGAAGUCAUUGCUGAUCGUGGUGCUUGUGGUGGUGUGUCUAUUGCUGACUGAAUCUGAUGGAAAACGCAAAACCAAGAAAAAUAGGAUCUCAUUACCCAGAGGAGUGAAGAAGAUUCAAGAGGCCCUGGACCCUAAUCGAAUUGUAAAUACUUUGAAAUGGAAAACUAGAUCCAAAGAUCUGGCUAAAGUAACAGAGGACGCCAUUGUAAAUGAACAU